rnacentral:misc_RNA from 1 species
GAUCGCCGUGUGCGGUGAAAGCCGCCUGCAUGGUGAAGGCUCGAAUCGAAAACUAUUCUAUUUGGAUAGUAUAAGACGAGAAU